UUAGAGGAGCGACAGGAUCCAGCCCGGCCGAGGCAAGCAGGGCAAGCUUCCCGAAGGAGCCCUUUCCUGGGGGUACAGAGAAGACAUUUCAGGAAGUGCCCCGAGAGCACUGAAGUGGGGGGCGAGCGGGCCAGCUGUGUCCAACCCUUAACUACAUUCUCUUCUGCCGCCAGCAGCCCUGACGAGUUUCCCAGGCCCUCUGGCUCCUCCCUAGGCUUAGAGGAAGGAACGGGAGACCCAGAAGUGCGGAUCUCCAGUCCGCAGCGCGGGAACCCAACAACUGGGACUUCGGGAAUAGGACCUUUUUGCCAAACCACAAGGACAAGUAAAACAGCAGCAAGUAUGACUGUGGUUAGACGUCCGGAGGAACUCUAGAAGUGGAGGGGCAGCAGGACAGAAAGCAAAAGGAUAAAAGAAGACUGAGCUGCCGACCCACCCCUUCCCCGGUGGUGAGUGGGGACACUUCUCUGGGCCACGGGCGGGUGGAUUGUCAGCCCCUGCUCUGAGGCUCCUUCCCGCUCCUUAAGAGGAAGGCAGCUCUCACCCACCCCGGUCUCAGGAAGGUCUGUGCCAGGGGAGGUCCCUCAGCCCACACCUUAGGCGGGUUGGGAGGUGCACAGGUCAUUGGAGACAGGAAGAGGACCCACGUUCGCAAGAUAGACUGUCUCGGUCCUGAGGCGGGACUGUCCUGGCAAGGUAAAAGCACCCCUUCCCCCUGUGUAAACUCCUCUGGAGAGCGGAAGAGCACUAACAAUGCUGUGCUGCUUCUCCUACCCGUCGGCGCUGCUAGCAACCGGGCCGGGGCAGCGAAAUCUGAGUACAUUUGCAUACCCAGCUGCGCACAGCUGCAUCCUGCUUCGGGCCAUAAAUUCGUGGCUAGCGGCUGCGGGCGGCUGCGGGCGAGGAGACUCCGCGGCGGGCGGGCUCCCUCUCCGCGAGCCUCUCCCGCCCCAGGUGCCGGCGUGUACUCCCGCCUGCCUGAGCAGCCGCCCGCGCAGCCGGGCCCGGGCCCGACCCGACCGCCUGCCCUCGCUCGCGCCAUCUUCUGGGCAUCUGUCUGCUUCGCACAGACUGAAACCACAGUUGGCCGUCCUCCGUCUCUCGAACUCAACAGGGGCAGUGUCUCCAGAAUGUAUUCACCUUUCCUUGACGCCUCGGGCCUGGGGCUUCUGUUCGAAUUUUCCUGCCAGGACUGGUGCGUAGCCUUCUAUUGGUAGCCCUGCCUCAGGGAAUGCCUUGCUAAAAUACAACACGGUCAACAGCCUAAAACCCGUUGCUCUCCCUAGGCUUUCAGAAUGUAGCUCAUGUUGUUCACUCUUACCGAAGAAAAUUCCCCCCAUUCUGCCUAUAUCCCUCUAUCUGCAGCCCUAUCUCCUGCUGUAUAGCCAGACCCGGGCACACAAUAGCCUGUGCUUCAGUUAAACAAAACUGCAGGAGAUUCGUUCAAUUCUCGGUGAACUGUCUCCUUCUGCCUGGCCUUUACCUGUGCCUUGUUUCCACCUAGUCUGCCCCUCCCUCACAAACACAUCUUUAUCGGUGUCCUCUGGGGAGAUCUCCCUGAUUUUUCUCACCUCUGGCAAUAUGUAAUGACAUCCACUGUAUAAAAAUUUGAUGGCACCCACCAGAUUGUGCAGCUCCUUCAGUUAACACAGGACUAUGUGUGUUUAUUGCUAUUCCCCAGUUUCCGAGCACAGAGCCUGACGUCCAGGAAAUGCUCGAUAUUCUGAAUGAGAAAAUGAAUGAUUCAUUCCGAGGUACCCAUCCUUCCUCAUUUCAUUCGUCUCCCCGUUUAGCACAGGGACACACAUAAAGAGACAUUCAGUACUCUGCUGGUCCCAAGCAUCUUUUACAUGACAUCUUCGAGCCUGCAGAAGAGUCCCCCACCCAGUUUCUUUGUGGUACAAGCACCCCCGAGAUAGUGAGGGGUGAGAAACCGGAGGACUGAGAGUGGAGAGCUGGUGCAGCGAACAACAGACUCAGAGUCGAAGAGACCCGGGGUCAAACUCCAGUGCUGAUAACCUUGGAAAAGUAACUUCCUCUCUCUGGGAUUGUUCCCCAACUGGGGAUAAUGCGAACAGUACUGACCACUUAAUAGGGAUUUCAUAUGAUUACGCAAAAUGGUCCAUAAAAUGCUUACCGCAUGUCAAAAAGUGUUAAGAUUCCUUGAGAUUCAAGGCAGAGGACGAGACUCCACCUUGCCCCGUUCACCUAGGGAGGAAAGAGUGUCCACUAACAAUCUAAGUCAAGUCAAGAAGCCUAAGGGAGUGAGGUUUCCGAGGCCUCAAAUUUCACCAGUAUCAAUUCUGCAAGAACGUGAGGGACAGCAAGACAUUCAUUCCAUAGGGUGGAGGGCAUGCCUACUCGCUGCCUGAUGGUCCUCACGGCUGUUCCGUCAGUGGCUACCAGGGGGCAGCACAAACCCCCCAAAUCACCUCAGGCUGCCUAAUAGCCUGCUGGCUGCAAGUGUGACCCUGUGGGUCAUUGUGAAAACUGAGUCCUGGUCGCUACCUGCCUCCCCUGUCCUUACCAGCCCGUCGCAGGCAGCUCUCCUGCCCCCCCACCCCAUGCCUCCAGCCUUUUCCUGUGACUUUGUGCUCCCUCGACACAGAGAUACAGAUUUGGGGAUUGUGAGCCUUACCUUAGUAGUGGUUGAAAUUACAAGAACAGAUGGGCUCUCUCAGGAGAAGGAAGUGUGGGAUGAGAACGUGAGCUAAGCAUGGAACCCUGGAACCACCACUGUUUCAAAGGGAGGAUGCUGAGGUGAGGCAGCAGCCAGAAUGGGGGGAGGGGGCCUUCCACACCCCAGAUCCUGAUAGAAUCCAAACAUAGUACAUUCAUAAUGAGUAUAAACAAUAACUGUUAAGAAUAUAUAGUGCUGUGGAACUAUAUUUUAUUAUGUUAAUUGAAAAACUACCAAAAGGUACAUGAUGUAAAAACAGGAAUUUGUCUUAUUUGGAUAAAAUUUGGUCCAGCACACAAACGUAUGUAUUAACAUGAGAGGAUUAUGCUUUUCCAACGUUUCUUUGUAUCAGUGUUCAUUAUGAUAAUAAUAAAAGAAAAUAUUUUGUGAAAAAUGAAAUCACUAUUCAACAUUUGAGUUGUACUCCCUCAGGAAACUGAUAUUAGAGGGAGAGAUUAACUUACCUAAUAUCACACAGCCUGUGAAUGACAAAGACUGACUUGAAUUCUCACCCAAUAACUUUUUCCUAGUACCCAGGUUGUUCUGAGAAAGUGGUUUGGUUAAUUCUGGAGGUCAGUUGUGAGUUUAUAUGGCUUCCUGACCUCUUGCAAUCCACAUUUUAUCCUGCCACUCUCUAUGCCCUUGGCCUUCCCAAAUGCUUGCUAGCCUUCCAGUAAUAUGCUGCCCCAGAGGCCCUCUCUGCCUCCCUGUCUUUCUACCUGUCAAAAAGGCAGCUUUUGUUUGCCGCCAUUAAUGACUUCUUCCUCUUGGCCCAGAGAAGUCCACAAGGCAUCUUCCAGAGACUGGCCCGAGCUCAGUCCAAAGCACCUUUCAAUCAUAUUUAUAAAUGAUUUGGGGAUUAUCUGCUGUCUUGAAUUAUCUAGACCAUUGCUUCCCCUCUAUUAAAGAGACUCAGCUUGGACUCAGUGGAAUGUAAUAUAUUCAAAUGAGCACAAACAUAUAUUCAGGGAGUUACAUUCAAAUUAAC